rnacentral:rRNA from 1 species
AGUGAACGCUGGCGGUAGGCCUAACACAUGCAAGUCGAACGGCAGCACAGGAGAGCUUGCUCUCUGGGUGGCGAGUGGCGGACGGGUGAGGAAUACAUCGGAAUCUACUCUGUCGUGGGGGAUAACGUAGGGAAACUUACGCUAAUACCGCAUACGACCUACGGGUGAAAGCAGGGGACCUUCGGGCCUUGCGCGAUUGAAUGAGCCGAUGUCGGAUUAGCUAGUUGGCGGAGUAAAGGCCCACCAAGGCGACGAUCCGUAGCUGGUCUGAGAGGAUGAUCAGCCACACUGGAACUGCGAAACGGUCCAGACUCCGACGGGAGGCAGCAGUGGGGAAUAUUGGACAAUGGGCGCAAGCCUGAUCCAGCCAUACCGCGUGGGUGAAGAAGGCCUUCGGGUUGUAAAGCCCUUUUGUUGGGAAAGAAAUCCAGCUGGCUAAUACCCGGUUGGGAUGACAGUACCCAAAGAAUAAGCACCGGCUAACUUCGUGCCAGCAGCCGCGGUAA